CUGCAGCCACCCGCUUCCGCCCGCGUGACGCAGAGCUGCGGGCGCGCGCACGCGCGCUCGGGCCCCUCACUGCCCCGCGACCUAGCGCGGGCGCCGAGGAAUGGAUCCUUCCAGCCCAACCAGCAGGGGCGAUAAGGAGAGGGGGCUUCGUAGCCCUGGGCAACGGCACGCGCUGCACGGAUCGUCCCAAGCCAAUGAGAGGGGGUUUCUCAGCCCUGGGCAGUGGCACAAGCCGUGUUCCAACCCAAGAAGAACAAAAUAGGAAGCUGUCACCUUGAUAGACAAAUCUGAGUAUGAAUCGGACGCUUCUGAUCCAAUCUGCAUACAUAGGAAAACAGAUAGUUUUCAAAGUUGCUGGAGCCUAGCUGUCACUACAACUUUCUAGAGACCAGGAUUGUUUUCUCUUCUUCCCUUUCUUCACCCAAAUAAAAGUAAAUACAGAAGUGAGUCUCCUUAUUUACCUGAUCUGGUCCUGGUUUGAGGAAGAAGAGAUGCUGCCCAUGGGAAAGGGUGAUGCUGCACAAUGGAAGAAUUCAAAAUGGACAGGAAGUCCUCAGAGUUUGGGAGGGGGGGAAGAGGAGUAAAGACUUCAACUGGAAUUAGGUGUAACAUUUCUCUGACUCCCACUACAACUGCUCUAUGUAAUAAGUUUUAAUUAGGAGUAAAGUAUCUCCUUGCUUUGAGCAAUACCAAAUGAUUAAAGAUUUCAGCUUAUUAAACAGUCUACUGCAAACUGAAGGCUAUAAAAAACAGAAUUAAAAUGAAAUUUCAAGCUAACAGCUCGUAUAAUUUCUGUAAUCCUCAACCAAAACCAAGCUAUCUUCAGGCAAAACCAAAACCCUCAGAAAGGAGCUAAUUUCAGUUUGGAAACUAGAGCACAGUGGCAAAAAGAGUGGAAGAGGUAACAGUAUAAAACAAAAACAAAAAAACCCAUCACUACCCUUUCAUUCAAAGAAGAAAAAAAGGAUUUCUUUAGAGUGUGCUUUUCCUAAUAGUCACCAAGCUUCUCAAUUGGAAAGAACAUAACAAAAAGCCUGUCUAAUCCAGUAUCCUAUACGUGAUGCUGCCCAAAAUGGGUACGUAUGGGACAGUGAAGCUGUGUCAAGGGAUGGGUCAGUGUGUGUUUGAGGGAGGGAUGCCGUGUGCGU